AUGGUAGGAUAGAGGCCUACCAUGGUGGUAACGGGUAACGGGGUGUUAGGGCACGACACCGGAGAGGGAUCCUGAGAAACGGCUACCACAUCCAAGGAAGGCAGCAGGCGCGCAAAUUACCCAAUCCCGACACGGGGAGGUAGUGACAAUAAAUAACAACACAGGGUUCUUUAGGAUUUUGUAAUUGGAAUGAGUACAAUUUAAAUCUCUUAACGAGGAACAAUUGGAGGGCAAGUCUGGUGCCAGCAGCCGCGGUAAUUCCAGCUCCAAUAGCGUAUAUUAAAGUUGUUGCAGUUAAAAAGCUCGUAGUUGAAUUUCGGGAUCAAUACGUCGGUCGUGCUUCGGUACGUACUGGCGUCAUUGAUUUCUCCCUUCUGACGAACCAUGAUGUCAUUAACUUGGUGUCAUGGGAAAUCAGGACUGUUACUUUGAAAAAAUUAGAGUGUUUAAAGCAGGCUCACGCUUGAAUACAUUAGCAUGGAAUAAUGAAAUAGGACGUUCGAUCCUAUUUUGUUGGUUUUUAGGAUCAACGUAAUGAUUAAUAGGGAUAGUUGGGGGCAUUAGUAUACAAUUGUCAGAGGUGAAAUUCUUGGAUUUAUUGAAGACUAACUACUGCGAAAGCAUUUGCCAAGGAUGUUUUCAUCAAUCAAGAACGAAAGUUAGGGGAUCGAAGACGAUCAGAUACCGUCGUAGUCUUAACCAUAAACUAUGCCGACUAGGGAUCGGAUGAUGUUAAUUUUUUAAUGACUCAUUCGGCGCCUUACGGGAAACCAAAGUGUUUGGG
rnacentral:rRNA from 1 species